GACGAACGCUGGCGGCGCGCCUAACACAUGCAAGUCGAACGAGCGAGAGAGAGCUUGCUUUCUCGAGCGAGUGGCGAACGGGUGAGUAACGCGUGAGGAACCUGCCUCAAAGAGGGGGACAACAGUUGGAAACGACUGCUAAUACCGCAUAAGCCCACAGGUCGGCAUCGACCAGAGGGAAAAGGAGCAAUCCGCUUCAGGAUGGACUCGCGUCCAAUUAGCUAGUUGGUAAGGUAACGGCUUACCAAGGCAACGAUCAGUAGCCGACCUGAGAGGGUGACCGGCCACAUUGGGACUGAGACACGGCCCAA
rnacentral:rRNA from 1 species